CGUGUCCAUCGUGCGUGUAUUUAUUUUUCACCUCUUCCUACAUUUCUGUGUUCAUUUUUUUAUUUGACCUUUGACCUGUUUUACUAUGAUCUGUAUCUGGGACCACAUGGGGGUUUGGGACCACAUGUUGAACACCCCUGCUCUGUGUAGUGCUACAGGAGACUUUGGCAAUCAAUUUGAAAAUUGAGACUGUUUUAAGUUUCAUUCUUUUAGGAAAGAUAAAUGAGUUUUUACGUUCUUUAGUUCAUUGAUAGUCUGAGGGUGGCUCCUGCCCGCGGCCCCUAAAGUUUCUUUCUGUGGCCCUGAACGUGUUUGUUAAUCAUUUAUAUUCAAACAAACACUCUGUGUCACUUUGAUGCUGAAAGUGCUUCUAUUUCAAUCUUUCUUUCUUUCUUUUUUUUCUUUUCCUUUUUCCCGUGGAAACCCAACCUCAUUUGUGGCAGGUUGGUGUUACAGCUGCGGACGUUAGUCGAUGUUUUACUCCUGUUCCAUUCAGAAGUGUUCUAAUAAGGACAAACUGCUCCCCGGUCGAGUCACAAUGGCUUCGUCGACUCCAAAAAAAGAACUGAAAUGAGCGAGUGGAAAUGUGAGGGGCAGGCUGGAGAACAGAAGACCAGAAGGUGUCAAAGGUCAACAUUGGAAGGUUCCUCAGUUACAUCUGGAUAUAAAGACUCAGUAUAAGGGAGUGUCCAACAAAGGUGGAGGUCUGUCAUCAGUGGUCAAAGAAACAUCUGUUAACAUACAAGACCAUUUUUUGUGCCUUCCACCUUUUCAGGGGAAGCUGCACAGAUGCGUCCAGCAGAUGACGCAGUUCUCUGCAGGAGGAAUCCCAGCCUUUCAUUUGUCUAAAUAAUCAUAUCAUGUAAUUCUCCUGACAAAACCUUUUACCCCUCCAUUUAGCUUCAUUUAGCAUUCAUGAGCCGGUUAUUUGGGAGCCAUCGCUGCUUGUUCUGCUCAUUCUGUUUUCAUCAAACCAUUUUUGUGCACUUGUCUGAGUUAAAUGUAUUUUAUUUAAUGGCAUCUUUGUAUUUAAGGCAAUUAUUUGACAAAACUCUGUUAGUGUUUGUGCAUAUGUUCUGCUUUCCUUGUUGUCUGCUGUACUUUCAUGACACCUGAAAUAUAUCUCCAGUGAAUUCCACCUUUACCUAAAAAAUCAUCAUGUCUUAAAGGAUGAAUUUUAUAACAAAUUUAAAUUUAUUUCUGCACCAAAUGCUGCAUAUUUAUAACAUUUCGGUAUAUACCAUUUUUUUCUUAUUUUAUUUGUGAUCGUAUAAUUUUAAUUGCACAAACCUGACUUUACCUCUGGGAAAGAAUUCUACCUCAAACAAUUAUUUAUGUUAAAUUCAAGUGGACGCAAAAAAUCUGCUUUGGAAAUGUUUUUUGUCUUACUGUGGUCUAGUAGUUAAACCUAAUACACUAUAAUGUCUAACUUUUGUUGAAAUCGAACUUUCCAGUUGUAGGUGUAUGUCCUCCAAGCUCGUCCUGUGCUGAUUAUGACUCGGAAAAUACUGUCUGAAAAUCAGUGCACAGCACAAAGACACAGUCAGCGCCAACUGGACCUUUUUAAAACCAAAGACACGUCUGGGUGUACAUUACUGCCAGCCUUGAAAGUCUCUUUCCGUUGCUCUUGGUGAGUGUCUGCCUUCUCCGUGUCUGUGCUGGUCACUCACUCUGUUCUCCCUCUCUUUCUCAUCUUGUUUCCUCAGAGGAGUGCUAGUGAGCGGCGGAGGAAUCAUACAGCCAUCAAAGGUUGCAAGCUGUAGGAAAUGUCUUCAUUUGCAACGAGCCGGCCUGACACCUGAGCUCCAGGCUGCUUUGUACCACUGUGUCGCUGCCUGCUUACAUCCUCGUGUGUGUAUAUGUGUGUGUGUGUGUGUGACUGAUAGUCAGCCAUCCCAGCUCCCCAGCAGGUCCCACUUUAAAUUGUCUGUGUGUGUUUUAUAGCUGUGUGUGUGUGUGUGUGUGUGGGCCUGCGCCCCAUCCAUCAGUGUUAAGAUGGCACAUUACUGUUAAUGAAUGAUAUUUGUGUUCAGCGUGUAUGUCAGGAGGGAGGACCAGGGAAGCAAAAACAAGCCCUCCCCAAUCACCUCACCUUCAGCCUCCUCAUUUUCUUUGUCACUCUCUUGCCUGUUUUGCAUUUUCUGAAUUUCCUCAGCUGAGUCUCAGACCAAAAACCGUACAUUUACUGUUUUUCCAUCUAGAGUUGAAGGUUAGCUAUUUAUGCACUGAGUGGGGUUUUUACUAUUAUCCUCAGACCACCCUCUGGGUUAUGUAAGUGAGCGCACCCACCUUCUAUACGUGACAUUGUUCUGGAGUUCUUGAACAAUGGCAAAUAUGAAAACUAUGGAUUUUCUUAUUGGAUGACAUUUUUUUCUGUGCAAAAGGUGAAAUUACCUUUACCUUCACAAAUUAAUAGUUUGUGAAAAAAUAUAAGGUGAUCCUUAU